GCGCCUGUGGCUCAACUGGAUAGAGCUACGGACUACGAAUUCGUCGAUUGGGGGUUCGAAUCCCUCCAGGCGCACCA
rnacentral:tRNA from 1 species